rnacentral:rRNA from 1 species
GAUGAACGCUGGCGGCGUGCCUAAUACAUGCAAGUCGAGCGAACAGACGAUGAUCUUGCUCCUCUGACGUUAGCGGCGGACGGGUGAGUAACACGUGGAUAACCUACCUAUAAGACUGGGAUAACUUCGGGAAACCGGCUCUAAUACCGUAUAAUCUCUUGAACCGCAUUGUUCAAUGGUGAAAUACGGUUUUGCUGUCACUUAUCGAUGGAUCCCGGCUGCAUUAGAUAGUUGGUACGGUAACGGCUUACUAAGGCAAGGAUGCGUAGCCGACCUGAGGGGGGGGUAGGCGACAUGGGAACGGGGACAGGGUCAAGAGUCCUACGAGAGGCAGCAGUAGGGAAUGUGCGGCAAUGGGGGAAAGCCUGACGGAGCAACGCGGAGUGAGUGAUGAAGGUCCUGGGAGCGUAAAAAUGGGUUAUGAGGGAAGAACAGAUGUGGAAGGAACUAUGCACGGAGUGACGGUAAUGAAUAAGAAAGCAACGGCUAACUACGUG